AAAAAAAAAAAAAAAAAAACUUAAUACAAAGAACCCGUAGACCUAGGAAGACCGAAAAAAACGCUUAACGAUUUUGUCAAAUGGCACAUAUUUACAUAAAAAAAAAAGAACUCAAAACCAUUUAUUUGCUGCUCUCAAUUCGUACUGCACCAUCAAUAAUUUAACGUACAGUUUAGGCAUUUUCAAGACUACAAUUUAGCUUCAAUAAAUACUUCUAAAUGAAUUGAAGGAUAAGCGCAUCGACUGCAAAGAACAAUUUAUCGUUAGAGGGACAAAGGCUAGAAAUAACUGCAUUAUAGUUUA